UACGGAGGGGGCGAGCGUUGUUCGGAAUCACUGGGCGUAAAGCGUACGUAGGCGGCAUUGUAAGUCAGAAGUGAAAGCCCAGGGCUUAACCCUGGAAUUGCUUUUGAGACUGCAAAGCUAGAGACCCGCAGAGGUUGGCGGAAUUCCGAGUGUAGAGGUGAAAUUCGCAGAUAUUCGGAGGAACACCAGUGGCGUAGGCGGCCAACUGGGCGGGUACUGACGCUGAUGUACGAAAGCGUGGGGAGCAAACAGG
rnacentral:rRNA from 1 species